rnacentral:lncRNA from 1 species
CAUUUUUCUGUUCUAUGCUAUAUUUUGCUUUGAAAAGACUUUAAUGGAGUCACAGUAGGAAUAUUCUUUUUCCAGUUGGGUGUAGCAAUCACGGUAAUGACAUACACGAACUUGUGGUUACUUGCUCACUUUCAGUGGCAAAGAAGAGGCCGUCGUUCACUGCUGCCAGAAAACAUAGUCCCUCAGUGUGGGUCAUUUUCAUUAGGUGCCUUCUGUGGACCUUGCCCUAAGUAGAACACUGUGGUCUGAGGAGUUUCUUUUUAUAUUUUGAAGAUAUAUUGCCAGCUAGGGUAGCAUUUAUGGUCCAGUAUCAUUGUACAACUAAACAGUGAUUUUUCUUAACUCAUCUUGCUGGCAGUAUCUCGUCUCUUCAAAUUAUUUUAAAAAUUAGCUGGGUGUGGUGCUACACGCCUGUAGUCCUAGCUACCCGGGAGACUGAAGCAGGUGCAUCACUUGAGUUUGAGGUGAUAGUGAGCUGUUAUCGUGCCACUGCACUCCACCCUGGGCAACAGAGCGAAACCCUG